GACAGAGGGUGCAAACGUUGUUCGGAAUUACUGGGCGUAAAGGGCGCGUAGGCGGCCUUCUAAGUCGAACGUGAAAUCCCUGGGCUCAACCCAGGAACUGCGUCCGAUACUGGAAGGCUUGAAUCCGGGAGAGGGAUGCGGAAUUCCAGGUGUAGCGGUGAAAUGCGUAGAUAUCUGGAGGAACACCGGUGGCGAAGGCGGCAUCCUGGACCGGCAUUGACGCUGAGGCGCGAAAGCGUGGGGAGCAAACGGGG
rnacentral:rRNA from 1 species